rnacentral:tRNA from 1 species
GCGGGAAUAGCUCAGUUGGUAGAGCACGACCUUGCCAAGGUCGGGGUCGCGAGUUCGAGUCUCGUUUCCCUGCG